ACAAACAAGAAUGUGUCCUCAGUACACGAAUGCCCCACUCGCACUAUCAUUUUCUAUGUUCAGUGGACCGUGAAAUUGGGGUAAAAUCUCUAAUUUGGCAUUAAAAUUAGAAAGAUCAUAUCAUAGGGAACAUGUGUACCAAGUUUGAAGUCGAUUGGACUUCAACUUCAUCAAAAACUACCUCGACCAAAAACUUUAACCUGAAGCGGGACAGACGGACGAACGAACGAACGGACGCACAGACCAGAAAACAUAAUGCCCCUCUACUAUCGUAGGUGGGGC
rnacentral:lncRNA from 1 species